ACCGAAAAUCUAGACCAACCACACAAGCAAACAACCAGCAAACAAUAAAACAAAACAUUUGACACAAUUAGUAAAGGAGAUUAAACAUUUAAACCGGCACAAUAGAAAGAGUACCGCAAGGGAAAGAUGAACAAACCUCAAGUAAAAAAAAGAAAAGAUAAAACCUUGUACCUUUCGCAUCAUGGUUUAGCAAGACAUACACAAGCAAGAAGACCACGUUUGACACCCCGAAACCAAGCGAGCUACUUUUAAGCAGCAACACAUUAGAGCAAACCCCCCUCUGUAGCAAAAGAGCGGGAAGACUAAAAAGUAGAGGUGAAAAGCCAACCGAGCUCGGUGAUAGCUGGUUGCUUAAUAACGAAUGUAAGUUCAACCUUAACUAUAAAUCGUAAAUAACCAAACCUAGUUCAGGAAAAUCAUUAGGGGUACAGCCCUAAUGAGACAGGAUACAACCUGCAUCUGAGGAUAAAUCAAAAAUAGCCCCCAUCCGUAGGCCUUAAAGCAGCCACCAAUAAAAACAGCGUCAAAGCACAAACACGCAACUAAUUCAAAACAAUAUCAUUAACCCCAGCAUACCACAAAGCAACCCCAUACAUAUGGAGAAUCCAAUGCUAAAACUACUAACAAGACGAAAACCUCCAAACAUGUUCCUCCGUCAGAAAUAGACUAACCACUGACAGUUACCGGACCAAAACAAAAACGCACAGAACCAAACAAACCGUGAACCCAACACAGGCAUGUACACCACAGAGGAAAGAUAAAAAGUUAUAAAAGGAACUCGGCAACCAAUGACUCCAACUGUUUACCAAAAACAUAACCUUUAGCCUAAAACAAGUAUUAAAGGCAUCGCCUGCCCAGUGAGAAAGUCUCUUCAACGGCCGCGGUACCCUAACCGUGCAAAGGUAGCAUAAUCACUUGUCUACUAAUUAUAGACUAGCAUGAAAGGCUGCAUGAGAGUCAAACUGUCUCUUAUAACCAAUCAGUGAAACUAAUCUCACAGUCAAAAAGCUGUGAUGCACCUAUAAGACGAGAAGACCCUGUGAAACUUCAAGAUUAGCCCAAACUUAAUUGGACACAUCUUUCAGUUGGGGCGACUUUGGAAAACAUUAAAACUUCCAAAACAUAGUGGGCCUUCCCCACACACAGGCCAACAAGCCACGCAUGAUCCAGUAUAUCUGAUAAAUGAACCAAGCUACUCCAGGGAUAACAGCGCUAUCUUCUUCAAGAGCCCAUAUCAAAAAGAAGGUUUACGACCUCGAUGUUGGAUCAGGGCACCCAAGCGGCGCAGCCACUACUAAAGGUUCGUUUGUUCAACGAUUAACAGC
rnacentral:rRNA from 1 species